CUGAACUUUUUCGGGUAUUUGCAUAGAAAGGUAAACGGGGUAAGAUGCACUGAUGUGCGGUCUUGAGUUUUUUGUUUUUCAACGGCGUCCCUUUUUCAAAACCUUGUCUCUCCCCAAACCCAUACCCAGAGCCACGUCUCUCUCUCUAAACCUAGAACCUCCUCUCUCUCUCUCCCCAAAGCAAAACCCCUGUUCUACAAACGCCUUCUCUCUCUCUCCACAAACUGUUAUUCUAGAGAGAGAGAUCUAACAAUGGAGAAGUACUAGAAGUUGGAGAAAGUGGGAGAAGGGACAUACGGGAAGGUGUACAAGGCACAAGACAAGGUAAAAGGCCAACUCGUUGCCCUAAAGAAAACAAGACUCGAGAUGACGAGGAAGGGGUUCCACCCACUGCACUGAGAGAAGUCUCUCUCUUGCAAAUGCUCUCUCAGAGCAUCAAUGUUGUAAGAUUGUUGAGUGUUGAGCACAUUGAAAAAAAUGGUAAGCCACUUCUUUACCUGGUGUUUGAGUAUUUAGACACAGAUCUGAAGAAGUUCAUAGACACAUAUCAGCGUGGGCCCAAGCCAAGGCCUCUUGAGCCUAGCACAAUUCAGUGCAAUCCGUGGUGCUCCGAGUCAUUAUUUUGAUUGCAAAUUAAAGAGGAGACUAUCACAAUUGCCUUGCACCAAAUUUUGUUUGAUUUGGUUCUUGCUUGAAGUAUUCCUGAAUUUGGGAGGUCACCGAAAAAAAGGAUUCUGCUGAUCGGCAAACCUUGCCUUCUUCAACCUUGGAAUUUAUGCUAUCCGACUUUAGAUUGAGUGCAAAAGUUUUACCAGCUUGUGGCCCUUCGUGAUACAGUCGCAUCUGAUCCGACUUUGCGAUAAUCUGAUGUAUGUAUUUCAAGUUAUCGCUUUACGAAGUUCGAGAUAUGUUUCUUUCAAAGCUCUGUUUUCUAUGGUUGAAGCUCAUCUUCUCUAUAGAAAAGCUUUGGUUUUGGGUCAUGUAAUGACACGUGCCAUAUGUCAAAAUGACCAGGUCGUCGAAUCUAGCUUGUGUCUGAAUUUGAGCUUGUUCUGAUUCCAAAUAAGUAAACUGUGGGCGCGUGUAGAUCAUCUCGAGAUAUGAAAACACAUCCGCCAUAAUUGGAAAAUGGUUUCGUGAGGCUGCAUCGCAAUAGUGUAAAACCUACCCGAUUGUGGUAAUUUGGGCUCAUAAUAUUCUUGGGAGGUUCGAUUGAGCCCAAAUUUGGUCUUUGGGGGUUUUUCGACAUUUUGGAUGUAAUGGCAGUGGUCUGGUAUUGUUUUGAAGCCCUUAACAUAGAGAUAUAGUUGUAAGGUCUUUUUUCAGCAUGAAAGAAACUAAUAUUUGAGAAUUGAAUUUUGUCUUGAUUAGGUCAAAAAUUAUUUAAAUGUGAAGAAACUUUGCGGACGUCCUUCGGGUAUCCCAAGCUAUCCUUUUCAUAUAUUUCAAAUCUAUUCUAGCACUUUUCUCAUGGUUGUUCAGUUUUAGGCUUAUUUUGUAGUGUUUCCUUGAUCUGGUGGUGUUUUGGGUACUGGUAGGACCAGGUUGUUACUGGUUUUCUUCUUAUUUGUACCAAGGAUAUAAGUACAUCAAAAAUGACGUAUAACAACAUGCUCCGAUGAAUUCUGCGCUUUGAGAGAAGCGAGAAUAGCAACAUUCAGAAUGAGAUUUUGUUGUUGAAGUUUAUCUUUCGAAUCCUCUCUAAGACAUGUUUUAUUGUCUUUUAAUAGAAAUUUUUUUCUUCUCGAGCACCGGCGUUAGCACAAUCCUUGAGGGGAGAUCAUGCUAAGCUUCUUUCUGAAGGGGCGACUGAAGUGGACUCUAGCGAUGGGGGGCCUUGCUUAAGGGCUUCCUUCCGAAUGCUAUUAGAAUCCCUUUUUUUUGGGGAGAGCGUGUUGAUAGGGUACCUCAUUAAGGUCUUACCAUUCUAUGCAAUAAUUCCUCGUAAUGACCCAGUUAGUGGGUUCCCUUGGCAAGCUUGGCCCCGAUCUAGCAGAUGGUGUUCUUUGGCUAUGGGGCAGACUAGUGGGUGCCCUUGGUGGGCGUUUGGUCCCAAUAUAGUUGUUAACAGUUGAGGGUCCUCUAGCGGAGUCAAUCUAGUGUUGUAGGAACUUGAUUCUGGCUCUGGGCCCGAUUAGUGGGUGCCUUUGGUGGGCGUUUGGUCCCAAUUUAAUUGGUGGUGAAUUUUGGCUCUGGGGUCGAUUAGUGGGUGCCCUUUGUGGGUGUUUAGUCCCAAUCUAGUUGUUAACAGUGGAGGCUCCUUUGGCAGAGCCGAUCUCAGUGUUGUAGGAAUUUGAUUCUAGCUCUAGGGCCAACUAGUGGGUGCCCUUGGUGGGCGUUUGAUCCCAAUCUGGUUGUUGGUGUUUUUUCAGCUCUGAGGCUUACUAUCGGUGCUCUUGGUGGGCGUUUGAUCCAAAUCUAGUUGCUGGUUUCCUUUUUUUUUUUGGCUUUUGGGCUCGAUUUUUUCCUUCUAUAGCUGACUGAGGUCGUCUUUUUGGUCAAGAGCUGCAUCAACCUGUUUAUUUAAUACAAGUGCCCUGCCCUUUCAGGUUUUCACUUGAACAGGGUAGGAGUGGUGCCACAAGAAUGGUUUUCACUAACUCCUUUUGUUGAGGCACUUUUAUUCAUGACUUUGAUGUCACGUCCGCUUUUUUAUUUCCAUUUUACUCAUGGCAUCCUUUUGGGUUUUCACGAUGCUUGGUUUUCUUU